rnacentral:tRNA from 14 species
GGAGAGUUGCCGGAGUGGUCGAACGGGGCGGUCUCGAAAACCGUUGAGCACGCAAGUGUUCCGAGGGUUCGAAUCCCUCACUCUCCGCCA